CGAGGGCGCUCACUGUAUGACUUCCGGUAAAGCUGUUCUAGCUAAUUCGUGUGAAAUCAUUGAUGAAGAAAACCAGUCCAGCUUGAAGACACAAUAAUGAAGACCCUUAUGUAGGCCAACUGUGAACUGCUGUAGGGUGCAGCAUGUCUCGACACUCGAGUGGAGGAGAGGUACCCACAGGGACCUGGCUACUCAAAAACAAUGGACAGCUCUCAAAUGAGGAUGACCUCCUGUUAGAUGUGGGCAGUCCAAUGUUGAGCUCUUCUUUGUCUUCCCCCUCCUUUUCCCUCCAGAGGAAUCGGGCCAGUUCCGAGUCGAAGCUGUUUACUCCUCCUGCUGAGAAACGCACGGGAACAUCCUCCAAAAUGUCCAAACGAGAAUCAUUAAAGGUACAGAAGAAGUACUACCGCAGCCAGAAGAAACAGGCCACCAAGGAGUUGAUGAGCACACAUAAAGAUUCCUCUGUCAUUGUGCUGGCCGAUUGGCUCAAGGUCCGUGGUACACUCAAGAGCUGGACCAAGCUGUGGUGUGUUCUGAAGCCUGGGCUUCUUGUACUGUACAAAAGUGAGAAACAAAAGAGUAGCUAUUGGGUGGGAACCGUCCUGCUGAACACCUGCAGGCUGAUCGAGCGACCAUCUAAGAAGGACGGUUUCUGCUUCAAACUCUUCCAUCCUCUGGACCAAUCAAUCUGGGCCACAAAGGGACCAAAAGGGGAGACAAUCGGGGCCAUCGUUCAGCCACUGCCCUAUUCCUACCUCAUCUUUCGGUCCCUGUCAGAAUCUGCAGGAAAGUGUUGGAUGGAUGCCCUCGACUUGGCCCUGCGCUGUACAGGGCUGCUGAUGAAGUCAAUGAAGAAGGACCCCCACCUGGUACAGGGGGAGAGCCCUGAUACGCCUGGCACUCUUCUACCCCCCUCCACAGAGCAAGAACAACUCAAUGAUAGUGAUUGCGAGAAGCAUUUCGCUGGUGUAGUUAUAGAUCUUGAAGAGGACAGCAGGACAGACAGGGAGGAGAUCAAGACCGAUUCUGAGUCGGACACAGAGGAAGAGGAGGACAAAGUGUUUGAUGAUGUCAGCCAGCCAAGCGAGACAUCGUACUUGGAGAAUGUGGUUGAGGAAUUGGGACAGCAAGGAGAUGCUUGCCAAACAGAAGAAGUUGAUGACGAAAACAAAAGUCUUAUCUGGACCCUGGUGAAACAGGUACGCCCAGGUAUGGAUCUUUCAAAAGUGGUGCUGCCUGCCUUUAUCCUAGAGCCACGCUCCUUCCUAGAUAAACUGUCCGAUUACUACUACCAUGCUGACAUCCUUUCAGAAGCUGUUACCUAUGAAGAUCCUUACUCCAGAAUGAAGGGUGUGAUUAAGUGGUACCUCUCGGGUUUCUACAAAAAGCCAAAGGGGCUGAAGAAGCCAUACAACCCCAUCCUAGGUGAGACCUUCAGGUGUUACUGGCAACACUCCAAGACAAAGAGCCGCACAUUCUACUUAGCUGAACAAAUAUCUCACCACCCUCCAGUGACGGCCUUCCAUGUCACGAACCGCCACGACGGCUUCACAAUUAGUUCUAGCAUCCUGACCAAGUCCAAGUUCUAUGGGAACUCCUUGUCCGCCAUUUUGGAUGGGACUGCGAAACUCACAUUCCUGAAGCGAGGGGAGGACUACCUAGUCACUAUGCCAUAUGCUCAUUGUAAAGGAAUCCUUAUCGGGACACUCACUAUGGAGAUGGGUGGCAAGGUGGCCAUCGACUGUCCAAAGACGGGAUACAGAUGUGAGAUGGAAUUUAAACUCAAGCCUUUCCUAGGAAGUGGCGCAGCGUCUAACAGAAUUUCAGGGAAGAUCAAGAUGGGUUCAGACACCUUGUCCCAUAUAGAAGGUCACUGGGACCAGGAAGUGUUUCUCAAAGAGAAAGGCUCGUCGGAAUCUGAACUGUUCUGGAGCCCAACAUCAGAGGUGAAAAGUCAGAGACUACUGCGCUACACAGUUCCUGUGGAAUCACAAGCAGACAUGGAAUCAGAGAGACUUUGGAGGCAUGUGAGUGAUGCAGUGGUCGUCAAUGACAUGACCUGUGCUACACAAGAGAAGUUUAUACUGGAGGAACGUCAGAGGAAAGAAGCACGUGAGCGCAAGGCAAAGAUGGAGGAGUGGGUACCUCACUUAUUUGAGCGGGAUCUGCUGACAGGAGACUGGGUCUAUAAACAUUUAGAUAUGAGGCCGUGGGACCCCAGUAAUGACCUACUGCAGUAUGAGUCAAGCUAUUGUAUUCAAACAUGGACACGUCACAAGACACCUGUUGUCCGUACAUGUAGCAUUGCUAGUCUGGAGCAGCAGCCGGUAGCCACAGUUGGUCGUCAUGCACCCUGUAUCCACCGAAACUCUGUGAAGAGGCUACGCAUUGUGGGAGAGGAGAGUGAAAGUUCAACCCCAGAGAUAGACACUCGACACAACAGUGACUCUUCUGACCAAACUAAAGCUCGACGAAUUCAGCGUGCAGCAUCCAACAACAAGGGCCGAAUAUCGGAGGAGACACUUGUGAGAGCCUUGCAGCCAUUGGUAGACAUGCAAAAUGAAACCAACCAAUCAGUUCAGCUGUUACAAAAACAAAUGUUUUCGCUGAGCAAGAGGACAGACCAGCCUCAGGCGAGUGCUCUUGUACAGAACCGUGACAUUCUUGUCGUGCUUGCUGUCGUCAUAUGUCAGGUCCUGCUACAGCUGCUGUGGAAAUGAUCUGUUGUUGAUAAUCGUUUGUUUAAAACUGUUUAAUCAGCUGUGAUUCUCACUUUUACGAAUAAUGUAUGAUCACUCUAUUAUUAUCAAAAAGUGCAAUAGUGAUUGUGAAUGAAUGUAUUAUGAUUAUUGGGACGUAAGCAGAAGGUUCCGACUGCUGUGGAUAGCAUUAUUGGUGUGUCACACAAAGCUCCUGUGGUAAAGGGGAGACAACUGUGGAUGUGAUAGGGCAAUCGAGAGAUAGAAAGAGGAUAGAGGUAAAUGUAUAUACACUUGUGUGAAAACUGUAUUUGUUUGAGAUCUGUAAAUUUUUAAAAGAGGAGAAGUGUUUUUUGGACAAGAUUCAUCAGUUUGGAAACGUAUCGAUGUAUUAUGCAAUUUGUUUGAAAUCAAUAAUAUAGAUACUCGUGCAAUAUUUUUGCGGACACCUUUGCGAGAAAAAUGGCCUAAUACAUUCAGUCUGUGAGAACAACUAAAUCAAGUCUUUUUGACUUUUAAAAGAAAUGGUGAUUUCUGACAGAUAGGGCCUGUUCGUUUUUUCGGACCAGCUUGUUUGUCUAUUUUUUUAAUGUAACAUGUCAAGGUUAGAACCUGACGAACUGCAAAUGUUAAAGCAUGCCUUAAAAGUCUUCCCUAAGGUUUGCUAGAAAAAAUACAUCCAAUCACUUGGUCCGCUCCUAUGUUAUAAACGAACAACUUUGGUCCAAUUAGUUAAACAGUUUGGAACAUGAUAAACGAAAGUGACCCUGGAAAUCUAUAUCAAGUACAUGUGUAAUUGUUUGUAAACAAAUAACAUGAUACGGAGAAACAUUUACAUUUUCAAAGGACGGACUCGCUGGGAGGUAGCUGUGAUGUUUGAAACGAGGAGCAUUAGUGCAUCCAAGAACAGCCAUCUUCCAAGGAAGGGUCAGUGGUAUCCAACGUUAAAAUUAUGACAUCACCAUGUUGGCCAUGGCAUUGUGGCAGUGCAAUAGACUGGUAAAUAUAUAUAGGAAAAUAUGUGUCA
rnacentral:misc_RNA from 1 species